GAUGAACGCUGGCGGCGUGCCUAAUACAUGCAAGUCGAGCGAACAGACGAGGAGCUUGCUCCUCUGACGUUAGCGGCGGACGGGUGAGUAACACGUGGAUAACCUACCUAUAAGACUGGGAUAACUUCGGGAAACCGGAGCUAAUACCGGAUAAUAUAUUGAACCGCAUGGUUCAAUAGUGAAAGACGGUUUUGCUGUCACUUAUAGAUGGAUCCGCGCCGCAUUAGCUAGUUGGUAAGGUAACGGCUUACCAAGGGGACGUUGCGUAGCCGACCUGAGAGGGUGAUCGGCCACAUUGGAACUGAGCCACGGUCCAGACUCCUACGGGAGGCAGCAGUAGGGAAUCUUCCGCAAUGGGCGAAAGCUUGACGGAGCAACGCCGCGUGAGUGAUGAAGGUCUUCGGAUCGUAAAACUCUGUUAUUAGGGAAGAACAAAUGUGUAAGUAACUAUGCACGUCUUGACGGUACCUAAUCAGAAAGCCACGGCUAACUACGUG
rnacentral:rRNA from 1 species